rnacentral:lncRNA from 1 species
UCUAAGCCAACAUUCUAGAAUACUCCACAUUACUCCACCCAAAGAUAUUUUGUAUAAUGUCAACAUAGUUCUAGAAUUCUCCAUGUACAAAUCUUAGCCGUACAUUGAGUAGGUGGAAAUGCCUAUAAAUACCACCCCUCACCUCAUUUGUAAGAACCAAGCAAACACUAAGAAAAACCAAGUAAGUAAUAUUUUCCUUAAGCUUUGUGAAUGCUUG